rnacentral:rRNA from 1 species
UACGUAGGAGGCAAGCGUUGUCCGGAAUUACUGGGCGUAAAGCGCGUGUAGGUGGUGGGACAAGUCUGCUGUGAAAGCGCCUGGCUUAACCGGGCGAGGUCGGCGGAAACUGUCCGACUCGAGGACGGUAGAGGGGGGUGGAAUUCCCGGUGUAGUGGUGAAAUGCGUAGAGAUCCGGAGGAACACCGACGGCGUAGGCAGCGCCCUAGACGAGACCUGACGCUCAGGCACGAAAGCGCGGGGAGCGAACAGG